rnacentral:misc_RNA from 1 species
AUGUUGGAGGAGGGUCAGAGGGAGUGUUUACGGAGGCGGCAGUGGCUAGUACUCCCUUCUGCCGUCCGCUGCUCCUAUACCUCGCUGCCUCUCGUGUCGCCAUGGCCUCGCGUUUCGCCAUUUUGGACAUUGAUGUCGACCUCGAUCAACGAGCGGGGAAGAAGAAGCAGGAGAAGACCAAACUGAAGAGCGAGGAGACCGCCAAGAAGACGGUGAACAAAUGUGUCAGCAAGAAGAAGAAGCCUGGGGCGGCCGACGGCCUCAGUCUGCAAGCAAUGGCAUUUGGAACCAACAACAAAGGUAAAACUAAGAAGAAACAAGCUAACAAAACAAUUGAUGGGGUUGAAAAAGACGUAUCCUCUGCUAAGACAAAUGGUCAAGUGAACCCAAGAUUGGAUGAAGACUGGCAGCGUCGAGACGAUGAGUUUAUCCGUGAUGAGAAUGAGCGCUGCCUCAGAGAAGCCCUGAUGUUGUCUAAACUUGAUUUUGAAGAGAAAAAAAAGUUUUAUCAGCAAAUGAAGAAGGAACAGCAAGAAGAAGGAAAAGGAGGAAAAGUUAAAAAGAAGAAAGAUAAACCGUUAACGAUGUCCCUAGACCAGUUCAACAAUCUCCGCCCAGACCAGCUUACGGGAAAAUCUGAACCAGAUGAUCCUGUUCCACCUGGCCAGGAGGUAAUGCAAGACCGAGAAAAAUUCUUUGAUGACAUUGAGGAGGCAACUAAGAAAACCCUCGAGAGAGAGAGUAGACAUGAAAAUUAUAAAGCCACAGCUGGACAGUAUAAUCAAGAAGUUCGUGUAUCUCAAUAUGAAGCCGAACUAGAAAAACGAGACUUUGAAAUUCAGGCGUUAAGAUUAGAAGUAGAUUCGCUGAAGAGUGAACUCUUGUUGGUCAAGACCAGAAAUAAGAAACUAUGUGAGGUAUUUUGCUCUGCUGAAAUGAAAAGCAAGGCAGAGUUAGUAGUAGAACUGGACAAAAUGACCAAAGUACGGGAGGAACUCACGCAAGAAGUGUCGAACCUUUCUGCCCAGGUAGAACAAGAAAGGUCAAAAGUCAACCAACUUACGCUUGAUCUAAAAAAGUCACAUGGUAAAAAGAAGCAUAAUGCAGAAGCGGCUAACAAGGACUAAAGCCAAGAUCUUGGGGAUAUUAGUUGGGGAAAAUGACAUUCAACACUCUUCCAAAAUGUUUAUGGAGUUCUCUCUGCAGUAUAAUGUCAGCAUGAUAAAAAGACUAUAAGAAAUUUGAGCAGCCAUAGUGGAGAGCCCUGGUGACACUAAUCAUCUAAUUGCGCUUGCAGAAAGGUUGAGCUUUGGCUCUUUGGUCCCGUCUCUCAACUGUCAAUCAACUGGUGUACAGUUGUGAAGCAAUCUCGCUGAGAUUGCUCCCUCCUAAUGAGAUGUAUCAGUUACAAGAGAGCUGUCUGGCCUACUGAAGACCAUAGUCUGCCCCUGUCCCCUUCCCCCCCUCUCACAGAGGUCCGGGGGGGGGGGUUAACGACAAUCUGCCACCCCACUAGGAAAGCAUCCAGAAAGUCAGCAAAGUUUUACAGAUGACUGCAAGGUUCACAGAGCACAACACAUUGAAACAACCAAAUAACUCAAACAAAAGAUUCGAGUCGCUCAAGACUAGCUUGAACCCAUUAGUACCGACAGCUGCCACCAGGGAGCCUGGACCCCAGCCCAUAGCUGACUCCCCUUUCUAGAGGAGUACAUUUUGAGGGCUUUAAGGUAAUUCAAAUAGAUUUGGUGCUUGGCCUACCAGAGACCAGAGGCAGACCCUGGCCCCCACACUGCAAAAAUAUCCAGAAAGUGGGUGAACAAUACAAACCACUGCUGGGCUCAAAAAGAGAUGGAAGCCUCAAAAACUGCCAAACGAACUCUCCCAACAAUGUAAACAUACGAUAAAAU